UACGUAGGGGGCAAGCGUUAUCCGGAUUUACUGGGUGUAAAGGGAGCGUAGACGGCAGUGCAAGUCUGAAGUGAAAGGCGGGGGCCCAACCCCCGAACUGCUUUGGAAACUGUGCUGCUGGAGUGCAAGAGAGGCAAGUGGAAUUCCUAGUGUAGCGGUGAAAUGCGUAGAUAUUAGGAGGAACACCAGUGGCGAAGGCGGCUUGCUGGACUGUAACUGACGUUGAGGCUCGAAAGCGUGGGGAGCAAACAGG
rnacentral:rRNA from 1 species